rnacentral:rRNA from 1 species
AGAGUGAACGCUGGCGGUAGGCCUAACACAUGCAAGUCGAACGGCAGCACAGUGGUAGCAAUACCAUGGGUGGCGAGUGGCGGACGGGUGAGGAAUACAUCGGAAUCUACCUUUUCGUGGGGGAUAACGUAGGGAAACUUACGCUAAUACCGCAUACGCCCUUUGGGGGAAAGCCGGGGAUCGCAAGACCUGGCGCGGAUAGAUGAGCCGAUGUCGGAUUAGCUAGUUGGUGAGGUAAUGGCUCACCAAGGCGACGAUCCGUAGCUGGUCUGAGAGGAUGAUCAGCCACACUGGAACUGAGACACGGUCCAGACUCCUGCGGGAGGCAGCAGUGGGGAAUAUUGGACAAUGGGGCGAAAGGCCUGAUCCAGCCAUGCCGCGUGUGUGAAGAAAGGUCUUCGGAUUGUAAAAGUCAACUUUAAGUUGGGAGGAAAGGCGAGUUAACCUAAUACGUAUCUGUUUGACGUUACGACAGAAUAAGCACCGGCUAACUCUAGUG